rnacentral:rRNA from 1 species
GACGAACGCUGGCGGCGUGCUUAACACAUGCAAGUGGUGCGACGAACCAGGCUUCGGCCUGGGGCAGAGCCGCGAACGGGUGAGUAACACGUGGGCAACCUGCCCUGUUGAUCGGGACAACCCGGGGAAACCCGGGCUAAUACCGAAUGUGGUGCCGGCUCAUGAGAGCCGUCACGAAAGGAAGCUGCGGCCUCCGCGACAGGAUGGGCCCGCGGCCCAUUAGCUUGUUGGCGGGGUAAUGGCCUACCAAGGCAACGAUGGGUAGCUGGUCUGAGAGGACGAUCAGCCACACUGGGACUGAGACACGGCCCAGACUCCUACGGGAGGCUGCAGUGGGGAAUCUUGCGCAAUGAGCGACAGCUUGACGCAGCAACGCCGCGUGGGGGAAGAAGGCUUUCGGGUCGUAAACCCCUUUCAGUUAGGACGAAGCUUUAUUGGUUAAUAACCAAUUGGAGUGACGGUACUUUCAGAAGAAGCCCCGGCUAACUACGUGCCAGCCGCCGCAGUAA